GACGAACGCUGGCGGCGUGCCUAAUACAUGCAAGUCGAACGAGAGCGACCGUUGCUUGCACUGGUCAAUCUAGUGGCGAACGGGUGAGUAACACGUGGGUAACCUGCCCAUCAGAGGGGGAUAACAUCCGGAAACGGAUGCUAAAACCGCAUAGGUCUUCGAGCCGCAUGGCUUGAAGAGGAAAAGAGGCGCAAGCUUCUGCUGAUGGAUGGACCCGCGGUGGAUUAGCUAGUUGGUGAGGUAACGGCUCACCAAGGCCGUGAUGCACAGCCGACCUGCGAGGGUGAUCGGCCACAUUGGGACUGAGACACGGCCCAAACUCCUACGGGAGGCAGCAGUAGGGAAUCGGCCGCAAUGGACGCAAGUCUGACGGAGCAACGCCGCGUGAGUGAAGAAGGUUUGCGGAUCGUAAAACUCUGUUGUUAGAGAAGAACAAGUGCUAGAGUAACUGUUAGCGCCUUGACGGUAUCUAACCAGAAAGCCACGGCUAACUAC
rnacentral:rRNA from 1 species